AUGAGGUGUUGGCCUCUCAAAGCCAAUUUCCCCAAGCUUGUCUUUCUUUGCGAGACGAGGCAAGCUUCUGAUAAGAUUGUGAAAAUGAAGUGGAGUUUAGGAUUAAAGUGUUUUCAUGGAGUUAGUAGCGAUGGAAGGAGUGAUGGUUUGGCUUUGUUCUGGGAUGAAUCGCUGCAUGUAACUGUGAUUGAAUCAUGUGCGAGAUAUAUUGAUGCCCAGGUGGUGGAUGUGAGCUCUAAUUUGAGUUGGUGGUGUACAUUUGUUUAUGGUGAACCUCGUGUGAAAAAUCGUUAUUUAUAUGGGAACAUUUGGAGCGACUUCGCGCUAUUUUGGAUGAGCCAUGUAUGUGGAGACUACAACGAGGUCAUGUGGUAG
rnacentral:rRNA from 1 species